AUUGAACGCUGGCGGCAUGCCUAACACAUGCAAGUCGAACGGUAACGACGGGAGCUUGCUCCCGGGCGACGAGUGGCGGACGGGUGAGUAAUACUUAGGAAUCUGCCCAGUAGUGGGGGACAACAUUCGGAAACGGAUGCUAAUACCGCAUACGCCCUACGGGGGAAAGCGGGGGAUCUUCGGACCUCGCGCUAUUGGAUGAGCCUAAGUCGGAUUAGCUUGUUGGUGAGGUAAUAGCUCACCGAGGCGACGAUCCGUAGCUGGUCUGAGAGGACGAUCAGCCACACUGGGACUGAGACACGGCCCAGACUCCUACGGGAGGCAGCAGUGGGGAAUAUUGGACAAUGGGCGCAAGCCUGAUCCAGCAAUGCCGCGUGUGUGAAGAAGGCCUGCGGGUUGUAAAGCACUUUCAGUAGAGAAGAAAAGCCUAGGGUUAAUACCCCUGAGUCUUGACGUAACCUACAGAAGAAGCACCGGCUAACUCCGUG
rnacentral:rRNA from 1 species